UACGUAGGGGGUUAGCGUUGUCCGGAAUCAUUGGGCGUAAAGCGCGUGUAGGCGGCCCGGUAAGUCCGCUGUGAAAGUCGGGGGCUCAACCCUGGAAGUGCACUCGAUACUGCUCGGCUAGAGUCCCGGAGAGGAUGGUGGAACUCUCGGUGUAGAGGUGAAAUUCGUAGAUAUCGAGAAGAACACCGGUGGCGAAGGCGGCCAUCUGGACGGUAACUGACGCUGAGACGCGAAAGCGUGGGGAGCAAACAGG
rnacentral:rRNA from 1 species